rnacentral:rRNA from 1 species
GUCGAACGAGAAUCUUUGGAAUGAUUCUUUCGGGAUGAAUUCCAAACCAGUAAAGUGGCGGACGGGCGAGUAACGCGUGAGUAACCUGCCCAUAAGAGGGGGAUAAUCCAUGGAAACGUGGACUAAUACCGCAUAUUGUAGUUAAGUUGCAUGACUUGAUUAUGAAAGAUUUAUCGCUUAUGGAUGGACUCGCGUCAGAUUAGAUAGUUGGUGAGGUAACGGCUCACCAAGUCAACGAUCUGUAGCCGAACUGAGAGGUUGAUCGGCCGCAUUGGGACUGAGACACGGCCCAGACUCCUACGGGAGGCAGCAGUGGGGAAUAUUGCGCAAUGGGGGCAACCCUGGCGCAGCAACGCCGCGUGCAGGAAGAAGGUCUUCGGAUUGUAAACUGUUGUCGCAAGGGAAGAAGACAGUGACGGUACCUUGUGAGAAAGUCACGGCUAACUACGUGCCAGCAGCCGCGGUAAUACGUAGGUGACAAGCGUUGUCCGGAUUUACUGGGUGUAAAGGGCGCGUAGGCGGACUGUCAAGUCAGUCGUGAAAUACCGGGGCUUAACCCCGGGGCUGCGAUUGAAACUGACAGCCUUGAGUAUCGGAGAGGAAAGCGGAAUUCCUAGUGUAGCGGUGAAAUGCGUAGAUAUUAGGAGGAACACCAGUGGCGAAGGCGGCUUUCUGGACGACAACUGACGCUGAGGCGCGAAAGUGUGGGGAGCAAACAGGAUUAGAUACCCUGGUAGUCCACACCGUAAACGAUGGAUACUAGGUGUAGGAGGUAUCGACCCCUUCUGUGCCGCAGUUAACACAAUAAGUAUCCCACCUGGGGAGUACGACCGCAAGGUUGAAACUCAAA